UGAUAUGAUCCACUCUGUUAAUAUGAUCUAGAGUAUUAGAAACUUCUAGAAAAUAAAUUUCGUAAUUUUCGAAAUCAUAAUAAAAUCCAUCAAGUGAGCAUAAAUGAACGGUCAAAAUCGAACGACGUCCUAAAAAAAGAUGAUCGGAUCCUUCAAUUCAAGAUCAGAAUUAUUGAUAUUUAUCUAUGUAGUGAAUAGAAUUUUCUAUCAAAAAUUCAAUAAAUUUCGAUUCUUUUAUACCGUUAAACUAGCAAGUAUCUCACACCGGCCGUUAAAAAUUGUCAAAUUUGUGACCUCUUGAUCGUAAGGUAAAUGAUGUCGAAAAAUUAUAAAAUUUAAUUUCUAGAAGUUUUAAAUGGUGUAAAUAACGUUUAACGGUGUGGAUCAUCGAUUCGGAAGCUCUAUCAUCGAAAAUAACUUAUGAGUACGAGGGCGAUCGUACUCAUAAUAGUAUAGUAGCCGGACCCUCUAUAUAU
rnacentral:lncRNA from 1 species